rnacentral:rRNA from 1 species
UACGUAGGUGGCAAGCGUUGUCCGGAAUUAUUGGGCGUAAAGCGCGCGCAGGCGGUUCUUUAAGUCUGAUGUGAAAGCCCACGGCUCAACCGUGGAGGGUCAUUGGAAACUGGGGAACUUGAGUACAGAAGAGGAAAGCGGAAUUCCACGUGUAGCGGUGAAAUGCGUAGAGAUGUGGAGGAACACCAGUGGCGAAGGCGGCUUUCUGGUCUGUAACUGACGCUGAGGCGCGAAAGCGUUGGGAGCAAACAGG